rnacentral:lncRNA from 1 species
GAGAGGAGAGUAGAAUAUGAAGAGGAUCUUGUAUGCAGUAUAUACAUGAUUUGUUAAUGUGAUGUACACUUUAUGGAGAAAGAUGGUGGCUUACUUUUUGAUUAAUUAUGAAAAAGAAGCAGGGGAAGAAAGGUUUCCAUUAUUGUUCAUUGUUGCUGUAAAACAAAUAAAUUGAGUGUGUAAACAGUGUGUGUUUAGAUGUUGUGUCCUUUGAUGUUUCCAAGAUGUGUUUAUGUUGUUAUUGUCUGCAAAAGUGUUUAAGGGAAUAAGGGUCAUCAUUGGAGUUCAUAUCAUAUAAAUCCUUGAACAAGGACAGUUUCUUUAUACUUUUGUUACAAAAGUUAUUAAAUUUAUAACAAUAUAUCAUAGUGUUUCACAAAUUAGAUGGUAAAAAGUUUAAGCUUUUAACCCCUCUCUUGAGUUUAGGCCCGGUUACUUUUGUGCGCAUUUCAUACAUACAUUAACACAUCAUAUGGUCAUACGAGUUUGUUUCUUGAGGCUCGUGACGCCUUCUAACAUAUUUCUCUAGGUGUUACAGCUCGAGUCCAAGAUCAAGAAUGCUAGAUAAGGUGCGACUCAACUAUGCAUAACCCGUAGAAAUUUAUAGUAACAUGUUCCAUUUGACAUCUUUUAUUUUUGCUUUUCUUAGUUUAACAAGUAAAAUGGUUCAUUUAGAAAAAAACUUAUAAGAGACAAUAUAUUUACAACAAAGAUAAACAUAAAUAAGUAGAUCAAUCUUUAAAUUAUUCAAUGACAUGAUUUUUUUUAUGAUAAAAAAAAGUUUGGCUCGCAUCUUUUCGUAUAUAUUAUAACUUUUAUGUUAUAAUAUAGUGAUUAUUACAAGAUUAAUAACUUUGUUUUGAGUAUGAUAAGAUUAGGUAAGUGCUCAAAAGCAAUGCAGCCAUGAAACAUGAAGGUUUCUGCUUUUGAAGUUUUUAGGUGUUUGCUUUAAACAAAGAAACAAAUAAUUGCAACUUAGUCCUUUAUUUUCGCAGCAAUUUCUUUCUAUAUUAAAUAAAUAAAAACUCAAAAAACAUGAAAACUACGAGGCUAAGUAAUGCAAAAAAGAUGAAAUGCCAAAUGGUCAAUCUCACAUGUAUUUUAACUUUGUCAAAAGCCUUCUUCCUUACCUUUUUCUCCCUUUCCUUUACUUAAUGUGGUCUUGUUUCCAAUAGACGUGUAUUUAUCACUAAUCACAUUAUUUCAUUUUUUAAACAUGGAAAGUAAAGUCAAAUUUAAUUAAUUAUUAAUGGAUUUCUUAUACAGGUGAGUUGAUCACAAAACACUUUGCAAAAACAGAAAAGAAUAAACCUAAAAUCUUGUUUAAUUUUUGUUAAUGAUUCAUAUUAGAAAAGAAAAUUAAUGAAUAUGUUAU